rnacentral:tRNA from 5 species
GGAGAGAUGCCAGAGAGGCCGAAUGGGCACGACUGGAAAUCGUGUGUGCGCCCCUUAAAGGUGCACCGGGGGUUCGAAUCCCCCUCUCUCCGCCA